rnacentral:rRNA from 1 species
AGCGUACUGAUAUGCUUAACAGGAAAAGAAAUCAACAGAGAUUCCCUUAGUAGUGGCGAACGAACAGGGAGGAGCUCAAGCUGUAAAUCCCCACUCUUCGAGUGGUGAGUUGUAAGCUGGAGAAUGUAACCUGCAGAAGCAUCAUACGCAUAAGGUUUUUUGGAACAAACCGGCAUAGAGGGUGACACCCCCGUAUUUGGCGUGUGAUAAAUCGUAAGGUAUAUUCAUAGAGUCGAGUAGCUUGGGAUUGCUGCUCAAAUUGGGGGAUAUACUUCCCCCAAAGCUAAAUAUUGAUGGGAAACCGAUAGCGAACAAGUACUGUGAAGGAAAGAUGAAAAGAACUUUGAAAAGAGGGUUAAAAGAUUUGAAACCGUUGAGAAGGAAGCUAUGGGAGAUGGCAAAUGUCGGAUAUGACCUAACGAAAGCUUUGCGAAGGAGGGUUCUCUACCGACAAAAGAUAGGAUGGCGUGCGUUUGGACGAAAAGCUAUAAUUCUAUACUGUCAACAGUUUUAUAGUGGGGUCUGAACACGCGUGAGGGGCUUUUGCGAUCCUGUCGAAACGUCUUCUAUAGACCCGUCUUGAAACACGGACCAAGGAGUCUAUCACAUGUCAGAGUCUGCGGGUGGAAAACCCAUAGGCGUAACGAAAGUAAGUAUAAGUAGUCAACGAAAGUGCAACUACAUCCAUCCAUGAUCUUCUGUGAAAGGUAUGAGAAAGAUGACAUUUGAUAGGACCCGAAAGAUGGUGAACUAUGCUUGAGUAGCAUGAAGUCAGGGGAAACUCUGAUGGAAGUGCAUAGCGAUACUGACGUGCAAAUCGUUCGUGAAACUUGAGUAUAGGGGCGAAAGACUAAUCGAACCAUCUAGUAGCUGGUUCCCUCUGAAGUUUCUCUCAGGAUAGCAAGCACAUUUUAGCAGUUUUACUAGGUAAAGCGAAUGAUUAGAGGUAACUGGGAGUCAAUCUCCUAGUCCUAUUCUCAAACUUUAAAUUGGUAAGAACUAACGGUUUUCUUAAUUGAACCGGAGGGUAGAAUGCGUGUGUUUAGUGGGCCAUUUUUGGUAAUCAGAACUGGCGAUGAGGGAUGCACCUAACGCGGUGUUAAGGCGCCUAAACUCAUAAUAAUUCGACACCAGAAAAGGAGUUGAUUCAUUAAGACAGCAGGACGGUGUCCCUGAAAGUAGGAAUCCGCUAAGGAGUGUCUUACAACUCACCUGCCGAAUGAAUCAGCCCUGAAAAUGGAUGGCGCUACAUUAUGAUGCCGAUACAUCGCCAUCAGAGCAAGUAUGAAGCUUUGAUGUGUAAGAGGGCGUGAGGGUAGUGUAGAAGCUGUGACGUGAGUCGAGGUGGAACUGCCCUCAGUGCAGAUCUUGGUGGUAGUAGCAAUUAUUCAAAUGAGAACUUUGAAGGCCGAAGUGGAGAAGGGUUCCAUGAGAACAGUAUUUGGUCAUGGGUUACUCGGUCCUAAGACGUAGGGAAAUUCUUCUAUGUAAGUACAAUUUGUACGAUGUCAAAAGGGAAAUAGGUUAAUAUUCCUAUAGCCUGUCGAGGAUAUUAUGCGGCAACGCAAACGAGCUCGGAGACGCCAGAGUGAGCCCUGGGAAGGAUUUUCUUUCCUUUUUAACUGUCUAUCGCCUUGGAAUUGGAUUAUCCAGAGAGACGGCUUAAUGACAGGAAGAGCAGAGCACUAUUUGUUCUGUCCGGUGCGCUCAUUAUGGUCAGUGAAAAUCCGGGGGAGAUUAUUAUUCGCUCGCAGGUCCGUACCAACAACCGC